rnacentral:rRNA from 1 species
AUUGAACGCUGGCGGCAUGCCUUACACAUGCAAGUCGAACGGUAACAGGUCUUCGGAUGCUGACGAGUGGCGAACGGGUGGGUAAUACAUCGGAACGUGCCCGAUCGUGGGGGAUAACGGAGCGAAAGCUUUGCUAAUACCGCAUACGAUCUACGGAUGAAAGCAGGGGACCGCAAGGCCUUGCGCGGACGGAGCGGCCGAUGGCAGAUUAGGUAGUUGGUGGGAUAAAAGCUUACCAAGCCGACGAUCUGUAGCUGGUCUGAGAGGAAGACCAGCCACACUGGGACUGAGACACGGCCCAGACUCCUACGGGAGGCAGCAGUGGGGAAUUUUGGACAAUGGGCGAAAGCCUGAUCCAGCCAUGCCGCGUGCAGGAUGAAGGCCUUCGGGUUGUAAACUGCUUUUGUACGGAACGAAAAGACUCUUUCUAAUAAAGAGGGUCCAUGACGGUACCGUAAGAAUAAGCACCGGCUAACUACGUG